ensembl:lncRNA
UCAGAAAGAGUAGCCAAUGCACUUAACUGGCGAGCCAUCUUUUCCAGUCCCUUUUGUUAAUUUUAGUUAUGUGUAUGUGUCUGCAUGUGGUACACAGGCCCACAAAGACCAGAGGCAUUGCAUCUCCUGGAGCCGAAGCUAUAGGUGAUUGUGAGCCAACCCACGCCCCAGGUGGAUGCUGGGAAUCAGACUUCAGUCCUCUGGAAAAGCAAUGAGCACUUUAACCACUGUUUAAUACCACAAGAGUCAGACCGGAUCUCCGCCAUUUUGCCUUUCCUAUCUCUUACUCCAGGAAAUGAUUUGUCUCUUCCUGCAGUGUCUGCAACACCUUCAGAAUGGACUGGAAGUUUCAUUUCCACAUCUAGAAAUUUCUGGUCUGAUAACUAUGUCUCACCGGCACCUUUGAGGACAGCAGUCUUCUCUUCUGUGCUCUCCCUGUUAGUUCACAGCACUGUGUGUGUGUAGGACCAGGACUUGCAGGGCUUGAGCACUGCUUCCCCAGGACAAAGUCCAGCUGCCUUAGCUGUGGUGCUCCUCUGGGUCCCUCACACAAUGGCCACUGUCAUCCAGAACACUCCCUUGGGGGAGGGGGUCAAGCAACUUGAGGGAGGAGUGAGGGGAGGACUCAUGAUUUCCAUGAGUCCAGAGCCUUCAUUCCACCUGCAAGCCCGUGCCAGUCCCCGUCCUCCUCUCCAAAGAAAAAGAAGGCAGAGUCUGGACUAAGUGUGGUGGAAUUCUGAGUCUGGGUGGAAAGAAGCAGGACAGUUUCAACUCACCAGCAGAAGAGAGACCAUUGCCCUCUCCAGCUAACCCAAAGGCUUGCCACCCCAGUACCUGGACUGUCUCCUGCUGCUAUCUUCCCUUCAGUCUUGCUGGCAAAGACAGGUAAUGUGAGAGAGCCUAGCCUGCAGGUGUUUCUUCCAUUGACCUGCAGAAAUUAUAUGUCUCCCCUCAUGUAUACAUUGAUAAAAUAAAUUGCCAAGCUCAAUACUAGCAAGGACCCUGGUCCAGAGCGUGAGGUGGGACGGUAGUUGCCCUGAGUACCCUCCAUUGACCUACGGCAAUGUGUCAGGGGCUCCUCAAGUAUCUCUGUUAUCUCUUGGGAAGGGUGGUCCACAGGAAGCCCUGCUUUUUUGUUAGGAUCCUGGAUCCUUCAGUGACGUCUCUGGCGGCAUAGUGAUACCUCUCUCUUGGCUAGCAGAGAGCCCAGCUAGACUCUAGGUUUAUAUAACAUCUCCUGUCAGCCAGUUCACUCUGUGCUUUCUCCAGGAACGUGACACAAGACCUCUGUCUCACUUGGUCUUCCGGAGUUGGGUUUCUAGGGAUGAGUGUAGUGAGGAGGCUUUGUAGGGCAAGCCUAGGGAGGGUCCAGGUGGGGUCUAAAGGUGAUGUGGAUUUCCAGUAGGAUCUGGGGCAUUCAACCCCACAGUAUUCUACCAAGCAAAAAACCUUUGGUUUAAAAGCAAGGAACAAGGGGCUGGAAAGAUGGCUUAGUGGUUAUGUGAGCACUGGCUUCUCUUCCGGAGCACCUUGGUUUAAUUCCUAGUAUCUACGUGGUGGCUCACAAUCACCCGUAAAAGAUAAAGUCGCAUUUGCUUAACCCCAACAGACAUUUUGGCACCUGCUCCUUUGCUGCUCGAUCCGUGGUGGGCUUCCAACAGACCUGUGGAACCAUUGCAGUCACUCAGGGCCCUGUACACAGAAGGGUUCUGCCCUCGUUUAAAUGCUCUGUGGUUCCAACUGAGUGGUUUCUGGACAGUGAGUCUGUGUUACCAUCCUGCACUUGACUUUCUGUUUUAAGAGCUCUGGGAGGGUUGGGGAUUUAGCUCAGUGAUAGAGCACUUGCCUAGGAAGUGCAAGGCCCUGGGUUUGGUCCCCAGCUCCGAAAAAAAAGAACCAAAAAAAAAAAAAAAAAAGAGCUCUGGGUUCUCCAAUGAGAAGGGGAAAUUUCAGGUUAUCUCUGUGGCUCUGUCCAUCCAUGGGCCGCAGAAAGUAACUGUCUACUGAAUGCUAACGGGGGUAGGGGAAGUUAGGGGACAGCUAACACCUUGCUCUGUGGAGUGUUGCAGAGAAGCCCGCAGAUUAGCUGGAGUUACACUCCAGGAUCUGUGACUGAGAAGGACUCCCUUCACAUCCGUCUGGUAGCCAAGUCCACUGCUAUUCAAGGUGUCAGCAAAGGAGAAAGAAGAUUUUAAGCUCAGGGCAGUGGUGGUGCAAGCCCGUAAUUCUAGCCCUCAGGAGGCAGAGGCAGGCGUGCCUCAUGAGUUCGAGGUCAGCAUGAUCUAUAGAGUGAGUUCGAGGAUAGCCAAGGACAGCCAGGGCUACACAGAGAAACUCUGUCUUAAAAACAAACAUGGGGGUUGGGGAUUUAGCUCAGUGGUAGAGCGCUUGCCUAGCAAAUGCAAGGCCCUGGGUUCGGUCCCCAGCUCUGAAAAAUAGAAAAAAGAAACAAACAAACAAAAAACAAACAUGGGUUGGAGAGAUGGCUCGGUGGUUAAGAGCACUGACUGCUCUUUCUGAGGUCCUGAGUUCAAAUCCCAGCAACCACAUGGUAGCUCAGAACCAUCUGUAAUGAGAUCCGAUGCCCUCUUCUGGUGUGUCUGAAGGCAGCUACAGUAUACUUAUAUAUAAUAAAUAAAUCUUUUUAAAAAAGUCAAACAAAACAUAAAUAAAUAAAAAAGAUUUUUAGACAAUUGAUAUGGGAUAUAGACACAGUAGAGAAGCCUAGGAGAAAGUAGCAACCUGAACAUAAUACAUAUAUAUGGUCUAGCACAAUUUGGUUGAUUUAGCAAGGAAUGUUGGGAAAUGACUAUGGAAAGACAGAGAGACCACACUGGGGACCCCAGUGGCCCUUUGCUCCUGAUCCCUUAUGAGAGCGAGUCGUUUGUGUGGUUGGAAUGUAUGAUGCCUUUAUGUCUUUUGCCUGCAUGUAUGUCAACAUGAACCUUCUGGAACUGGAUUUACGGGUGAUUGUGAACCACCACGUAGGUACUAGGAAUCAAACCGAGGUGCUCACAUAACUACUGAGCCAUCUCUGCAGCCCCUUGCUCCUGGCUUUUAAACCAAAGUAACGAGGACCUCAAUAGGAAUUCAAUAAAUGUUUGCCCAAUG